rnacentral:rRNA from 1 species
GACGAACGCUGGCGGCGUGCUUAACACAUGCAAGUCGAACGGAAAGGCCCUGCUUUUGUGGGGUGCUCGAGUGGCGAACGGGUGAGUAACACGUGAGUAACCUGCCCUUGACUUUGGGAUAACUUCAGGAAACUGGGGCUAAUACCGGAUAGGAGCUCCUGCUGCAUGGUGGGGGUUGGAAAGUUUCGGCGGUUGGGGAUGGACUCGCGGCUUAUCAGCUUGUUGGUGGGGUAGUGGCUUACCAAGGCUUUGACGGGUAGCCGGCCUGAGAGGGUGACCGGCCACAUUGGGACUGAGAUACGGCCAAGACUCCUACGGGAGGCAGCAGUGGGGAAUAUUGCACAAUGGGCGGAAGCCUGAUGAAGCAACGCCGAGUGCGGGAUGACGGACUUCGGGUUGUAAACCGCUUUAGCCUGUGACGAAGCGUGAGUGACGGUAAUGGGUAAAGAAGCACCGGCUAACUACGUG